rnacentral:tRNA from 1 species
CGGGAACCGGGGUGCUGGUCACGCCCGGCGCCGGCGUCGUCGCGGAUUUGUUCGCAGAGGUCAGGCCGAUCGUGACGGCGGUCCCGAC